rnacentral:rRNA from 1 species
GUCCACGCCCUAACGAUGUCAACUGGUUGUCGGGAAGCAAUUCCUUGGUAACGAAGCUAACGCGUGAAGUUGACCGCCUGGGGAGUACGGCCGCAAGGUUAAACUCAAAGGAAUUGACGGGGACCCGCACAAGCGGUGGAUUAUGUGGAUUAAUUCGAUGCAACGCGAAAACCUUACCUACCCUUGACAUGUACGGAACCUCGCAGAGAUGUGAGGGUGCCCGAAAGGGAACCGUAACACAGGUGCUGCAUGGCUGUCGU